rnacentral:rRNA from 1 species
AGGAACUCAGCACGCCGCAAGGUCGGGGUUCGCCCACGUUCGUGCUUAGGAUGCUGGCAUAAUGCUUUAAUCGACCCGUCUUGAAACACGGACCAAGGAGUCUAACAUAUAUGCGAGUGUUUAACACUCGCACAUAUGUUAG